ACGUCCGUAGCCCAACGGGAGAGGCGCCGGCCCGAGAUGCCGGAGGUCGCGGGUUCGAAUCCCGCCGGACGUACCA
rnacentral:tRNA from 1 species